GGGGGCGCAAUUCAAUUUCUACAGGUGGAGGGCAAAUAACUAUGGGUGUAUCAUUUGAAAUCUUUUUCACUUAAAGCAGCAAAUAGGAUGCUCCUCAAAUGUCCAGUCCCGAUUAAAGAGUGAGGCACCCCCGGGAAUGAUUAUCAGGCAGUAGGGUCAGUAUUUGGAGUUUAUGUGAAGGCAGUGGGACUGUAUCUACCUAUGCUCCCUCUGCUUGAUGACUUUCUUAGACUGAACACAAUCUCAGACAACAUCUCUCAAAUCAUGAAGUCUAUGGAGGAAACGCUAAGGGGAGCUUUGGUGGUGAGUGCUUGAUAGAUUUUGCCCUGGAGAAGGGAGAUCUUCCUUGGAAGACCUGAUGAACAAGACAGUCACUGGACCAUCCCAGAGAGCUAAAGAAGAAGGGAAGGGAAAGAAGCAAAAAGAAGAAACCAUGAAACCCAAUGGCCUCGCUAUUUGAUUGAAAGCCAAUGGACGCUGGAGAAGAGAAGAGCCACCAGAAAGAUAAGAACAUCAGCCUGCCUCUUUUGGGAAAGUGGAUGGGGAGCCCAUUGCCAAUGGCUCUAUAUUCCAAUUAACAUCAUCACGGGGCACGCUAUCCUUGCGGUAUUACUGUCCUUCUGGGAAUGGAUUGUCUUAAUUUCAGCCAAAAUCGCUAAGGGCAGGAUACGCUCUCCACUUCGCAGGAGACUUCCGGACUUUGCCUGUGUGCUUCCUGAUCCUGAUCCUGAGUUGUACCCUGUAACUUCUUUAAUAAACCACUUAACUGUAAGUAUGGUCUGUGAGUUCCAUGUGGCAUUGCAACGGAUUAUUGAACCCAGCAGAGAAGUAGAGAGUGCUAUAGGAGGGGAUGGCUUGUGUUAGAAAUGGUAAAGUUGGAAGGUGGAGGUAUGUCUGACCUCCACCUCGUAGGAAUCAGCUUUAUGCUGAUCCUGGUUCUUAUCCCUAAGGAAUCUAGAUGAGAUCUGACACUACUACAACUAGAUUAGACUUACUUGCAGAUGUUUUUCAGAUUCCCUCUAUAUAAGCACUAGCACACCUUUGAUACUAAGUAAAUAUAUGUUGUCUGAAUAUACAAAUAUAUACAAAAAUCGGGAUAAUACUAACAUGCAGA